rnacentral:misc_RNA from 1 species
GAACUGCGAUAAGUAAUGUGAAUUGCAGAAUUCAGUGAAUCAUCGAGUCUUUGAACGCACAUUGCGCCCCCUGGCAUUCCGGGGGGCAUGCCUGUCCGAGCGUCAUUGCUGCCCUUCAAGCCCGGCUUGUGUGUUGGUUCGUCGUCCCCUCCGGGGGACGGGCCCGAAAGGCAGCGGCGGCACCGCGUCCGGUCCUCGAGCGUAUGGGGCUUUGUCACCCGCUCGAUAAGGACCGGCCGGGCGCCAGCCGGCGUCUCCAACCUUUUUUUCUCAGGUUGACCUCGGAUCAGGUAGGGAUACCCGCUGAACUUAAGC